rnacentral:rRNA from 1 species
CCUACGGGAGGCAGCAGUGAGGGAUAUUGCACAAUGGUGGAAACACUGAUGCAGCGACGCCGCGUGGGGGAGGAAGCGCCUCGGCGCGUAAAGCCCUGUCAGCCGGGAAGAAAAUACCGGUACCUGAAGAAGAAGCCCCGGCUAACUACGUGCCAGCAGCCGCGGUAAUACGUAGGGGGCAGGCGUAAUCCGGAUUUACUGGGUGUAAAGGGGGCGCAGACGGCGAUGCAGGCCAGGAGGGAAAGCCCGGGGCCCAACCCCGGGACUGCUCUUGGAACUGCGUGGCUAGAGUGCAGGAGGGGCAGGCGGAAUGCGUGGUGUAGCGGUGAAAUGCGUAGAUAUCAGGAGGAACACCGGUGGCGAAGGCGGCCUGCUGGACUGCAACUGACGUUGAGGCCCGAAAGCGUGGGGAGCAAACAGGAUUAGAUACCCGAGUAGUC